UUCACCAGGUUGUACUUCACCAGGCUGUACUUCAUUCACCAGGCUGUACUUCACCAGGCUGUACUUCAUUCACCAGGUUGUACUUCACCAGGCUGUACUUCAUUCACCAGGCUGUACUUCACCAGGCUGUACUUCACCAGGAUGUACUUCACCAGGAUGUACUUCACCAGGAUGUACUUCACCAGGCUGUACUUCAUUCACCAGGCUGUACUUCAUUCACCAGGCUGUACUUCAUUCACCAGGCUGUACUUCAUUCACCAGGCUGUACUUCACCAGGC
ensembl:lncRNA